GACGAACGCUGGCGGCGUGCCUAAUACAUGCAAGUCGAACGCACUCUCGUUUAGAUUGAAGGAGCUUGCUCCUGAUUGAUAAACAUUUGAGUGAGUGGCGGACGGGUGAGUAACACGUGGGUAACCUGCCCUAAAGUGGGGGAUAACAUUUGGAAACAGAUGCUAAUACCGCAUAAAACCUAACACCGCAUGGUGUAGGGUUGAAAGAUGGUUUCGGCUAUCACUUUAGGAUGGACCCGCGGUGCAUUAGUUAGUUGGUGAGGUAAAGGCUCACCAAGACCGUGAUGCAUAGCCGACCUGAGAGGGUAAUCGGCCACACUGGGACUGAGACACGGCCCAGACUCCUACGGGAGGCAGCAGUAGGGAAUCUUCCACAAUGGACGAAAGUCUGAUGGAGCAACGCCGCGUGAGUGAAGAAGGUUUCGGAUCGUAAACUCUGUUGUUGGAGAAGAAUGUAUCUGAUAGUAACUGAUCAGGUAGUGACGGUAUCCAACCAGAAAGCCACGG
rnacentral:rRNA from 1 species